AAGAGCAGCCUUAGCCUCCCGGCUCGCUGCGGCUGUAGCUGGUGGGAGCAGCCGCAAGGUGUCAACCUCCGCUAAGCUGCGGCUUGGAGCCAGCUCUGCUCGGCCGCUAGCAGCCGGGAGGGACAUCCCUGCGCGGAGGCUCUGCUGGAAAACUCGGUACCUGCUGCAGCUUCAGAAGACUGCUUGGCAGGCUCAUGUGCUGAAAACCCCUCCUCUGGACAGGCUCUUCCAGUGCCCUUAUAAACACUAAGAAAUGUCACCACUGGCCACCAACCAGCAGGAAUUUGCUUCUCUCAGUCUCUCAUCUGUGAUGGAUGGUUUGCAACAAGAAGGAUAAUCCUCUUUGCAAGGGAGAAGGUGGCAUAGCCUCUUACCAGGGAGUCACUGUUCUUUGGGGAAUGACACACCAGUUAAAGCUGACAGAGACCUGCGUCAUCAGAUGCCAGUGAUCUGGGGGUGGUGUGGCAGGGCACUCUCUUCCAGCUCUGCUGACUGCUCCCCUUCUGAUCGAGUGGAAGGAACUUAGCUUUUCAUCUGGGCUUCUCACCCGUAGAAGGCAGUCCUCAGCACUUCAAACACUUUUACCUGCCUGUGUGCUGCUGUGCCCAGCAAACUAACUCUGAGCCCCAGCAUGCAGUCCUGGGGGCUUCAGCUUCCUCUGCUCCCAGGCUAACCCUGCUCUCCUUGCCAGCACCAGCAGCUCAGUGUCCCCUCAGCG